rnacentral:rRNA from 1 species
GCAGUCGAGGGAGAAGUUUUGUGCUUGCACAGAACAGAAACCGGCGAACGGGUGCGUAACACGUAUGCAACUUACCUAUAACUGGGGGAUAGCCCGAAGAAAUUCGGAUUAAUACCCUAUAAUAUUUACAUACCGCAUGGUAUGUAUCUUAAAACUCCGGUGGUUAUAGAUGGGCAUGCGGCUUAUUAGUUUGUUGGUGAGGUAACGGCUCACCAAGACUACGAUAAGUAGGGGGUCUGAGAGGAUGAUCCCCCACACUGGUACUGAGACACGGACCAGACUCCUACGGGAGGCAGCAGUAGGGAAUAUUGGACAAUGGACGAAAGUCUGAUCCAGCCAUGCCGCGUGCAGGAUGACGGCCCUAUGGGUUGUAAACUGCUUUUAUAUAGGAAGAAACCUUUCCACGUGUGGAAAGCUGACGGUACUAUACGAAUAAGGACCGGCUAACUCCGUGCCAGCAGCCGCGGUAAUACGGAGGGUCCAAGCGUUGUCCGGAUUUAUUGGGUUUAAAGGGUACGCAGGCGGGACUUUAAGUCAGUGGUGAAAGCCUCCAGCUUAACUGGAGAAUUGCCAUUGAAACUGAAGUUCUUGAGUAUGGAUGAGGUGGUUGGAAUAUAACAUGUAGCGGUGAAAUGCAUAGAUAUGUUAUAGAACACCAAUUGCGAAGGCAGAUCACUAAACCAUUACUGACGCUGAGGUACGAAAGCGUGGGGAGCGAACAGGAUUAGAUACCCUGGUAGUCCACGCCGUAAACGAUGUUCACUCGCUGUUGGCGAUAUAUUGUCAGCGGCCAAGCGAAAGCAUUAAGUGAACCACCUGGGGAGUACGAUCGCAAGGUUGAAACUCAAAGGAAUUGACGGGGGCCCGCACAAGCGGUGGAGCAUGUGGAUUAAUUCGAUGAUACGCGAGGAACCUUACCAGGGCUUAAACGAUAAUUGACCGUCGCCGAAAGGUGUCUUUCUUUUAGACAAGUAUCAAGGUGCUGCAUGGCUGUCGUCAGCUCGUGCCCUGAGGUGUUGGGUUAAGUCCCGCAACGAGCGCAACCC